rnacentral:rRNA from 1 species
AUUCCAGCUCCAAUAGCGUAUAUUAAAGUUGUUGCAGUUAAAAAGCUCGUAGUUGGAUUCCUGGCACGGGGUAGCCGGUCCGCCUUGCAAAAGGUGCGCACUGAGCGGCCUCGGCCAUCCUUGCGAUGGUCUAUCCUGGCAUUCAGUUGUCGGGGUGGGGAUUCGCGACGUUUACUGUGAAAAAAUCAGAGUGUUCAACGCAGGCUUACGCCUUGAAUACAUUAGCAUGGAAUAAUGAGAUAGGACCUUGGCGGUCUAUUUUGUUGGUUUGCACGCCGAGGUAAUGAUUAAAAGGGACGGUUGGGGUUCUUCGUAUUCAAUUGUCAGAGGUGAAAUUCUUGGAUUUAUGGAAGACGAACUGCUGCGAAAGCGUCGAACAAGGACGUUCUCAUCA